UGAGUACGAGAUGCUACGGCAUCGAAGCAGUCUAUGUCAUACUUCCAAGAAAAGCUUGCACUGUCAGAAACAGAUAAUGCCUGUACCAUAACCGACACAGGUGGGUAGGUAGAGUAUACUAAGGGGCGCGAGAUAACUCUCUCUAAGGAACUCGGCAAAAUGACUCCGUAACUUCGGGAGAAGGAGUGCCUUAUUUUUAAGGUUGCAAUAACAAGAUCCAAGCAACUGUUUACCAAAAACACAGGUCUCCGCUAAGUCGUAAGACGAUGUAUGGGGGCUGACGCCUGCCCAGUGCCAGAAGGUUAAAGAAGUCGGUUAGCAUUCGCGAAGCUGGUAACUGAAGCCCUGGUGAACGGCGGCCGUAACAAUAACGGUCCUAAGGUAGCGAAAUUCCUUGUCGGGUAAGUUCCGACCCGCACGAAAGGCGUAAUGAUUUGGAUACUGUCUCGGAGAGGGGCUCGGUGAAAUAGACUUGUCUGUGAAGAUGCGGACUACCUGCACCUGGACAGAAAGACCCUAUGAAGCUUUACUGUAACUUGAAAUUGAAAUUGGACUUUAUUUGCGCAGUAUAGGUGGGAGGCGUUGAAAAUAUUCUUGCGGGAAUAUUGGAGCCAUCAGUGAGAUACCACUCUUGUAAUGUUAGAUUUCUAACUUUAUAUCAUUAUCUGGUUAAAGAACAGUUUCAGGCGGGCAGUUUGACUGGGGCGGUCGCCUCCCAAAUGGUAACGGAGGCGCACAAAGGUUUCCUCUGAACGGGUAGAAAUCGUAUCUAGAGUGUAAAGGCAUAAGGAAGCUUGACUGUGAGACCUACAAGUCGAGCAGGGACGAAAGUCGGUCUUAGUGAUCUGACGGUGCUGAGUGGAAAGGCCGUCACUCAACGGAUAAAAGUUACUCUAGGAUAACAGGCUGAUCUCCCCCAAGAGUUCACAUCGACGGGGAGGUUUGGCACCUCGAUGUCGGCUCAUCGCAUCCUGGGGCGGUAGUACGUCCCAAGGGUUGGGCUGUUCGCCCAUGAAAGCGGUACGCGAGCUGGGUUCAGAACGUCGUGAGACAGUUCGGUCCAUAUCCGGUGUAGGCGUUAGAAUAUUGAGAGGAGCCUUCUUUAGUACGAGAGGACCGAGAAGGACAUACCUCUGGUGUACCAGUUAUCGUGCCAACGGUAAACGCUGGGUAGCUAUGUAUGGAGUGGAUAACCGCUGAAAGCAUCUAAGUGGGAAGCCCACCUCAAGAUAAGUAUUCUCA
rnacentral:rRNA from 1 species